CUAGGUUAGCCAGGGUUUCUCUGCUCCUGUUCCAAACCCUGUUGGCCUGUCUAGGUUAGCCAGGGUUUCUCUGCUCCUGUUCCAAACCCUGUUGGCCUGUCUAGGUUAGCCAGGGUGUCUCUGCUCCUGGUCCAAACCCUGUUGGCCUGUCUAGGUUAGCCAGGGUGUCUCUGCUCCUGUUCCAAACCCUGUUGGCCUGUCUAGGUUAGCCAGGGUUUCUCUGCUCCUGUUCCAAACCCUGUUGGCCUGUCUAGGUUAGCCAGGGUGUCUCUGCUCCUGUUCCAAACCCUGUUGGCCUGUCUAGGUUAGCCAGGGUUUCUCUGCUCCUGUUCCAAACCCUGUUGGCCUGUCUAGGUUAGCCAGGGUGUCUCUGCUCCUGUUCCAAACCCUGUUGGCCUGUCUAGGUUAGCCAGGGUGUCUCUGCUCCUGUUCCAAACCCUGUUGGCCUGUCUAGGUUAGCCAGGGUUUCUCUGCUCCUGGUCCAAACCCUGUUGGCCUGUCUAGGUUAGCCAGGGUGUCUCUGCUCCGCCGGUUGGCUGAGAGCAUUAACGGUUCACCAUGCCUCAGACGGUCUCUGUUCUCUCUCUCAUUCACCACUGUAGCGUUGCACCACAUUACAGUAUGUGGUACUGACAGCUGAUGUGUAGUGCUAAGAUGAGGUACAUUUUCCAAACUACAAUGAGUGAGCGAUACAAUACAUAGCAUAAUUAUAGUCUCUCUGCUUUAACUGACAGUAGCCAAUGUUCCUCCUCGGGAGUCUUGUUGACAUUGACAACAGUAGGUUAUUUCUCAAUCGUGGCAUUUAUGGAAUAUUCUACAUUCACGUUUUAAUUGGGUGGUGAGGGAAUAGUCUCUCUGCUUUAACUAACAGUAGCCAAUGUUCCUCCUCGUCAAUGUCAACAAGACUCCCAACAGUAGGUUAUUUCUUAAUCGUGGCAUU